rnacentral:pre_miRNA from 1 species
UGUUAAAAAAUUAAUCCAUUUCUAUUGUUAAAAAUUGGCUUCAGUUACACAUGGUAUGCCACAUGUAUAUCAUUCUGAUGUACAAAGGUAGUUUUCAAUAUAAAAAAUGAAUGAAAUUUUUAAUA